rnacentral:misc_RNA from 1 species
GAUGAAGAACGCAGCGAAAUGCGAUAAGUAGUGUGAAUUGCAGAAUUCAGUGAAUCAUCGAAUCUUUGAACGCACAUUGCGCCCCUUGGUAUUCCAUGGGGCAUGCCUGUUCGAGCGUCAUUUGUACCUUCAAGCUUUGCUUGGUGUUGGGUGUUUGUCCCUCGGGACUCGCCUUAAAGUCAUUGGCAGCCAGUGUUUUGGUUUUGAAGCGCAGCACAAGUCGCGAUUCAAGGCUAUCCGCCCGCUUCCACAAGCCUUUUUCACUUUUGACCUCGGAUCAGGUAGGGAUACCCGCUGAACUUAAGCAUAUCAAUAAGCGGAGA